AAGCGCUGUAUGUUUUUCAGACUAUUGGCUAACGUUAGGUCUGUCAGUAUGAUGACGGGGAUGUUUAGACUACGUUUAAUAUUUUACGGUCGUAAGUGUAAACAAAUGUUUCUUAAAACGCAGAAGAGGCAGCUGGUGGUAUGCUCUGCUGUUUGUAACGUAACCGCUCUCUGUAUCACUCUCAACAGGACAGGUAAAUUAAUUAAAUUACAAAAUAAGACUGAUACACUGCCAAACAACUAACAGUCUUCACAGAUCAAUCACAGACAUUCCAAUGGAUUUAAUGGUUACAGUGGAAACUGUCUGUAUUGGUUUUAAAUAAAGGUGUGGUGUAAUGGUUUCUGAUGGUCUCUAAGUUACCACCCAAAAAAAAAAAACACGCAUAGGAAAAAAAGAACGACAGAAAGAACGGCUCCCUCCAUCCGAGACUCGGCGCCCAUCGUUCAUGUUUUUGAGCCGUUCAAAAGAAUCGAACGUCACAACUCUAGUUAGCAUCUCGACCGUUUUCUGAAGAGGAGUGACCAUAUAACCCCUCUAUAAAGAAUAGAAGCUCAAGAUUUUAGCAUUUGUAAAGGGAGCAGCUGCUCACAGAGAUGUUGAAUGAAAACUUAGAUUUCUUCAUGCUGAUGGCCAUCAGCAAAGUUCAAGCAGACCUGUCAGAAAACACCUCUAAGGUGAACCAUAUAGCUAGCGGGGUGCAUGAUCUCUGAAAGCCAAUGUUGACAUUUGAAAUCACCUAAACAAGCACACCCCUACCCCAAUAGAAUCUGGACCUUCUGUUGAUAGACUCACCCGCCCCACACAUAUGCAACAAUUCUGGUUAGUAGACAUGCCCCUUCCUGCUGAUUGGCUACAAGUGUGUUUUGGUACUCGGACUGACUCCCUUUUCCAAAGUGUUUUUCAAAAAUCAUGCACCCCGCCUUUAAAGAUACUAUUGCAUAUGUAGUUUGUUCCAUAGAGACUGUGUCGGGUCCCCCAAUAAUGAGGCCAAAUUUACUAAGGGAUCCAAAAAAAUCUGAUAGUGAUUGAACCAGAUAAUUGCUAAAUAAGGUCACAGAACUCUUGGUAGUACCCAGAAUGUCAAAGGCAUUCACAUAACACAACUUAUAACCUUGUUCUGAACGAAAAGGUAUAAAGUACACAUGAUCAUCUUUUGCUUGAAAUACUAUGAACAGCAGCUAUGCUAAUCCUUCUCCUUUUGAUUUCCUGUUUCUACAUAUCGGGAUACCCAUACAGGUUACAGAAGCUCCAGUAUGGAUCCAGCCUCACUUGUGAAGACUUCAGAUGACUCCAACACUCACAGAGACUUCAGAUGAUGGCAACUAAAGAUGGACAUACAAAACUGCCAAACGCUACCAAACGCAACCCACUUAAAUUUUACAAUAAAUGACAAGACUUAAGCCUAGUCCUGGACCAAGACAUGCGUUUGAGCUGUCUCAAGAUACAAACAACCAGUGAGGGCUCAUGACUGCUUUUCCAGGGGUCGCAUAUUCAAAAUAUGUGUUCGGAGUAUCAUUUGUAUUGCUUGUGUUUUCAAAAUAUGUGUUUGUUGCAUCAUGUGAACCAUGUGCAUCACGUGUUUUGUCAAAAUAAGUGGCUGCUGCAAACGCAUCAAACCCGUUUAUGAUAAAAGAGACACUCACAUUCACAAAAUACACGCAAGACACUCCCUUAACAGUAAACUCUGAUUACGCAUGAGAUUAUGUGAGUAUCUGGCAAACGCAUGCUUCUCUUUUAUCAUAAACCCUUUAGAGGCGUCUGCAGCAGGCACUUAUUUUGACAAGGCACACAAUGCACACAACUUUACUUCGACGCGCAUAAGACAACACUUAUUUUGAAAUUACGAACCACACACAUGACAGGCUAUGUUGUUACAAACUUCGCAUCAUGCGCACUCAAAAAAAAAAGCUAAUAAAGAAGCUUAAACCAGUGGUUCUCAAACUGGGGGCCGUGGCCCUAGGGGGCCCUGAGAUUCUUUGUAAUUAAACUUCAGAAAAAUAAACCAAUUAACCAACAGCACCACAUUGUAUAAUUAAAUAUGUUUUGUUUAAUAAAAAUUUAAAUUUUUUGCAAUGUUUUAUGUCAUACAAUUUCUUUUGGGGGCCAUAAAGGGAUGCACCGUACACAAGGGGGGCACAAACUGAAUAAGUUUGAGAACCACUGGCUUAAACAUCUAAAUUGAACUAAAUUAAGGCAGUUGAAUUAAAAGAUUAAAUUCGGUAUACACUUAAUGGUGGUUUCCUGAACAGGGAUUAGCUUAAACCAGGACUAGGUCUUAGUUUAAUUAGGAAACUAGUUUUAACAAACAUCCCUUCCUUACUAAAAACAUUACUUCUGUGCAUUUUCAGGCAUAACAAAGGGCACUGUUUUUUUAAAAUAUGUCCCUGUACGGGAAACUGCCCCUUUAUUAUUAAAACAUACAAUGUAAGGGCAAGCAGAUUGGCCAAGAAAAUAAAUAAAAUGCUUUAAAUUACAGUUUGCGUGACCAUAAUAGAAAUAUAGUGAUGAUAUAUUGUUUGA